rnacentral:rRNA from 1 species
GGACCCGGGAGUACUUGCUACUUUGCCGGCGAGCGGCGGACGGGUGAGUAAUGUCUGGGAAACUGCCUGAUGGAGGGGGAUAACUACUGGAAACGGUAGCUAAUACCGCAUAACGUCGCAAGACCAAAGAGGGGGACCUUCGGGCCUCUUGCCAUCAGAUGUGCCCAGAUGGGAUUAGCUAGUAGGUGGGGUAACGGCUCACCUAGGCGACGAUCCCUAGCUGGUCUGAGAGGAUGACCAGCCACACUGGAACUGAGACACGGUCCAGACUCCUACGGGAGGCAGCAGUGGGGAAUAUUGCACAAUGGGCGCAAGCCUGAUGCAGCCAUGCCGCGUGUAUGAAGAAGGCCUUCGGGUUGUAAAGUACUUUCAGCGGGGAGGAAGGUGUUGAGGUUAAUAACCUCAGCGAUUGACGUUACCCGCAGAAGAAGCACCGGCUAACUCCGUGCCAGCAGCCGCGGUAAUACGGAGGGUGCAAGCGUUAAUCGGAAUUACUGGGCGUAAAGCGCACGCAGGCGGUCUGUCAAGUCAGAUGUGAAAUCCCCGGGCUCAACCUGGGAACUGCAUUCGAAACUGGCAGGCUAGAGUCUUGUAGAGGGGGGGUAAAUUCCAGGUGUAGCGGGUGAAAAUGCGUAAAAAUCUGGAAGAAAUAACGAGUGGCCA